rnacentral:rRNA from 1 species
GACGAACGCUGGCGGCGUGCUUAACACAUGCAAGUCGAACGAUGAAACCGGAGCUUGCUCCGGUGGAUUAGUGGCGAACGGGUGAGUAACACGUGAGUAACCUGCCCUCGAAUCUGGGAUAACUGCGGGAAACUGUAGCUAAUACCGGAUACGUCCCUCGGAGGCAUCUCCUGGGGGUGGAAAGAAUUUCGGCCAAGGAUGGACUCGCGGCCUAUCAGCUAGUUGGUGAGGUAACGGCUCACCAAGGCGACGACGGGUAGCCGGCCUGAGAGGGUGACCGGCCACACUGGGACUGAGACACGGCCCAGACUCCUACGGGAGGCAGCAGUGGGGAAUAUUGCACAAUGGGCGCAAGCCUGAUGCAGCAACGCCGCGUGAGGGAUGACGGCCUUCGGGUUGUAAACCUCUUUUAGCAGGGAAGAAGCGAAAGUGGCGGUACCUGCAGAAAAAGCACCGGCUAACUACGUGCCAGCCGCCGCCGUAA